rnacentral:rRNA from 1 species
UACGUAGGGAGCAAGCGUUGUCCGGAAUCAUUGGGCGUAAAGCGCGCGUAGGUGGCCCCAUAAGUCCGCUGUGAAAGUCAAAGGCUCAACCUUUGAAAGCCGGUGGAUACUGUGGGACUAGAGUACGGAAGAGGCGAGUGGAAUUCCUGGUGUAGCGGUGGAAUGCGCAGAUAUCAGGAGGAACACCAAUAGCGAAGGCAGCUCGCUGGGACGUUACUGACGCUGAGGUGCGAAAGCGUGGGGAGCGAACAGG